CCUACGGGGGGUAGCAGUGAGGAAUAUUGGUCAAUGGACGAGAGUCUGAACCAGCCAAGUAGCGUGAAGGAUGACUGCCCUAUGGGUUGUAAACUUCUUUUAUAUGGGAAUAAAAUGUUCCACGUGUGGGAUUUUGUAUGUACCAUAUGAAUAAGGAUCGGCUAACUCCGUGCCAGCAGCCGCGGUAAUACGGAGGAUCCGAGCGUUAUCCGGAUUGAUUGGGUUUAAAGGGAGCGUAGGUGGAUUGUUAAGUCAGUUGUGAAAGUUUGCGGCUCAACCGUAAAAUUGCAGUUGAAACUGGCAGUCUUGAGUACAGUAGAGGUGGGCGGAAUUCGUGGUGUAGCGGUGAAAUGCUUAGAUAUCACGAAGAACUCCGAUUGCGAAGGCAGCUCACUGGACUGCAACUGACACUGAGGCUCGAAAGUGUGGGUAUCAAACAGGAUUAGAUACCCUUGUAGUC
rnacentral:rRNA from 1 species